CAAUAGCGUAUAUUAAAGUUGUUGCAGUUAAAAAGCUCGUAGUAGGAUUUCUGAUCGAGACAUCAGGUCGGGUCCGAGAGGAUCAUGUACUUUGAUUUUGUUUUGAUCAUCCUUGGGGAGAGCAUUUCUGGCAUUCAGUUGUCGGGAUUGGGAUCCUCAUCGUUUACUGUGAAAAAAUUAGAGUGUUCGAAGCAGGCCUCGGCCUCUGAAUACAUUAGCAUGGAAUAAUAAGAUAGGACUUUGGUGGUCUAUUUUGUUGGUUUGCACGCCAAAGUAAUGAUUAAUAGGGAUAGUUGGGGGUAUUCGUAUUCAAUUGUCAGAGGUGAAAUUCUUGGAUUUAUGGAAGACGAACUACUGCGAAAGCAUUUACCAAGGAUGUUUUCAUUAA
rnacentral:rRNA from 1 species